CCUACGGGAGGCAGCAGUAAGGAAUAUUGGACAAUGCUCGCAAGAGUGAUCCAGCCAUGCCGCGUGCAGGAAGAAUGCCCUAUGGGUAGUAAACUGCUUUUGAACUAGAGAAAAUCCCAGUACGUGUACUGGGCUGAUAGUAUAGUUAGAAUAAGCAUCGGCUAACUUCGUGCCAGCAGCCGCGGUAAGACGAAGGAUGCAAGCGUUAUCCGGAUUCAUUGGGUUUAAAGGGAGCGUAGGUGGACUGAUAAGUCAGUGGUGAAAUCUCCGAGCUUAACUCGGAAAUUGCCAUUGAUACUGUUGGUCUUGAGUACAGUUGCUGUGGGCGGAAUAUGACAUGUAGUGGUGAAAUACAUAGAGAUGUCAUAGAACACCGAUUGCGAAGGCAGCUCACAAAGCUGUAACUGACACUGAGGCUCGAAAGUGCGGGGAUCAAACAGGAUUAGAUACCCUGGUAGUCCGCACCGUAAACGAUGAUUACUCGCUGCUAGGGGGCAACCUUUAGUGGCUUAGCGAAAGCGAUAAGUAAUCCACCUGGGAGUACGCCGGCGACGGUGAACGUCAAAGGAAUUGACGG
rnacentral:rRNA from 1 species